rnacentral:sRNA from 1 species
GGUUUCCGGGUGGUGCGAGCGAGAUGGGGCGGAGGGCAAGUCUUGCAGAGUAGCUGCGGUGAGUGGGCGUGUGCGCCGAGCGGUCUGGCCCAAGGGCUGGGGGCCGGCCGAGGGUCUUCGGGAGCAGGCCGCAGGGCGCGGAGACAUCCUGGGAUCGCCGUCCGCCGCUGCUACCCGGCAUGUCGGCGGAGGCCUCGGGCCCGGCGGCCGCCGCGGCGCCGUCCCUGGAAGCCCCCAAGCCCUCGGGUCUCGAGCCUGGCCCCGCCGCCUACGGUCUCAAGCCGCUGACCCCGAACAGCAAAUACGUGAAGCUGAACGUGGGCGGCUCGUUGCACUACACCACGCUGCGCACCCUCACGGGACAGGACACCAUGCUCAAAGCCAUGUUCAGCGGCCGCGUGGAGGUGCUGACCGAUGCCGGAGCAAUAACCAACACUUACGGAACCCCUAACUGCCAGGCGCUGUGGUUGGGUGCUGAUUGACCGGAGCGGCCGUCACUUUGGUACAAUCCUCAAUUACCUGCGGGAUGGGUCUGUGCCACUGCCGGAGAGUACGAGAGAACUGGGGGAGCUGCUGGGCGAAGCACGCU